ACAAGGGUCUGCACUCCCCUUUCUCCUACAUACUCCAAAUUGAGAAAACCCUAACCCAUCUACAAAAACUACAGCCGCCACCUACAACACCUGCAACCCCACCCUCUUCCUUCGAUCUGUGUAAACGACCACCACCACCACCACCGUCUGGUGGUGGCGCGACGACGAAACAGAGAAUCGGAAGAGACGACAAGAGAGAGAGAGGGGGGUAAUAGGCUGUAGUUCGACGGCGUACGACGGCGGUGGAGUCGUCUACAGCGGCGACGGUGGCGGGGUUUUAUUUCAUUCCAUCAGGGUCGUCGGUUCAGGUCAGAUUUACGCUCAACAGCGGAUUAAAAUUCAUGGCUCGGGUCUCAACAUCAGUUGGUUCAAGCUUCAGGUGGUUCACUCCGGUUCGGGUUCGUCCGAGUUUAGUUUCAUUCGGUUUCGACUAGCAUCGGCCCAGGUGGUUUGGUGCUUGUUUGUUUUCGGGUCUCGGUCAAAACGGGUCAGUGGUGGUGCUUGGCCCGGGUUUCAUCUUGGUUCACAUUAGGUCACGGUUCGAGUACGAGUAGUUCCAGUUCCGGGUCAGCAGCGGUUCGGAUGUCGGUUCAGUUUCGAGUCUCGGUUCAAAACUGGUGCGACUAGUUUCGGCUCGAGUCACACCAGUGGGCUCAGUUCGCAACGGAAAUCAUCUCUAUGUUUCGGGCGAUUUGGUCAUUUGCCUCACCUCGUAUGCUCGUGCGGUAAUUCUCGUGGAUUGUUUCCUACGUAACCAGAGUUUUGAUGAUGCAAGGAAUCUAGUAGGACUGCCUAGAAACACAUUUAAACUCUAAUACUUGUUGUACUAUGUCUUAUUUUCAAACAUGUAGUAAUUGUUUCCAAUCUUUGUAUGAGACCAUUACUCAAUGAAAUGAAAUGAAACUUAAUUAGUUGUAUGCUAUUUAUUUCAAA